CGUAGGCGGACUUUCAAGUCGGAUGUGAAAUCUCCAGGCUUAACUUGGAGCUUGCAUCCGAUACUGUUGGUCUUGAGUAUAUCAGAGGAAAGCGGAAUUCCAGGUGUAGCGGUGAAAUGCGUAGAUAUCUGGAAGAACACCAGUAGCGAAGGCGGCUUUCUGGGGUAUAACUGACGCUGAAGCGCGAAGGCUAGGGGAGCAAACA
rnacentral:rRNA from 1 species